rnacentral:rRNA from 1 species
GUGUCAGCCGCCGCGGUAAUACGUAGGCAGCGAGCGUUGUUCGGAGUUACUGGGCGUAAAGAGUGCGUAGGCGGUUUCGUAAGUCUGGUGUGAAAUCUCCCGGCUCAACUGGGAGGGUGCGCCGGAAACUGCGGGGCUGGAGUGUGGGAGGGGCAAGCGGAAUUCCUGGUGUAGCGGUGAAAUGCGUAGAUAUCAGGAGGAACACCUGCGGUGUAGACGGCUUGCUGGACCACUACUGACGCUGAGGCACGAAAGCGUGGGGAGCAAACAGGAUUAGAUACCCUGGUAGUCCACGCCCUAAACGAUGCAUACUUGGUGUGAGCAGUUCAUUCUGUUCGUGCCGGAGCUAACGCGUUAAGUAUGCCGCCUGGGGAGUACGGUCGCAAGGCUGAA